AGAGUUUGAUCCUGGCUCAGAUUGAACGCUGGCGGCGUGCUUAACACAUGCAAGUCGAACGAGAAAGGGACUUCGGUCCUGAGUAGAGUGGCGCACGGGUGAGUAACGCGUAGGUAAUCUACCUCUGCAUCUGGGAUAACACUUCGAAAGGGGUGCUAAUACCGGAUACACUUAUCAAUCGCAAGGUUGAUAAGGAAAGGAGACCUCUCCUUGGAAGUUUCUGUGUAGAGAUGAGCCUGCGUCCCAUUAGCUAGUUGGCAGGGUAAUGGCCUACCAAGGCGACGAUGGGUAGCGGGUCUGAGAGGAUGAUCCGCCACACCGGAACUGAAACACGGACCAGACUCCUACGGGAGGCAGCAGUGAGGAAUAUUGGACAAUGGGCGCAAGCCUGAUCCAGCGACGCCGCGUGAGUGAUGAAGGCCUUUGGGUCGUAAAGCUCUGUCAGCAGGGAAGAACGGCCGUGUGGUUAAUACCCGUGCGGAUUGACGGUACCUGCAGAGGAAGCACCGGCUAACUCCGUGCCAGCAGCCGCGGUAA
rnacentral:rRNA from 1 species